AAAAACUUGGGGAAAUCCUGGCAUCAUCAAUAAUUCAGCACCCAUUUCCAUUUAUGACAUACCGACGUCUGGUGCUUGAUUGUAAAUUCCAUCCAUUACAUUGGCUGUGCGUGCGAGCUUUGCCUACUAACCCAUGUAGCAUCAUAUAUCGGGUAUAUAUUUAUACAAUAUUGGCAGAGCGUUUUUAUGUUGGGUCAAUAUUGUCAAUUUUUAGCCAAUAUUACUCCAAUAUUAGAAUAGCUCUUUUGACCAAUAUUGAUGCAUCUAAACAAAUACAAUAUUGGCAAAAUAUUUUUCAUUUCCAGUUUUUGCUGGAAGAUUAACAUGCCAUAUUGUAUAGCAAUACUAUGCCAAUUAAACGUUUUCGAUUUAAUUGAUAAUCAUAGAAUAUUGUCCUAGUAGCUAAUAAUUAUUAAUAAUAUCUUCCGGCCUGAUUUAUAAUCAAAGUUAAAGUGUUAGAGAAAAAUAGAAACAAAAAACCGGUUGCAAAUCUAGUUGCGUACUAUAUUGAAAACUGCUUGUCGGAUAAAUACGCAAACACCCCUGCGGAACUGCUAAAGUUGGCCCAACUUUAGCAAUCGAACUCGGCUACUAUUAUUUGAAGUUAGCGUUGUGUACUUAAUUGUACCUACCUAAAUAGUAAAUAGUUACAUACUUCGGUGUUUUGUGCAAUAAUCUGCAACUCAACAUGUCAUCAAGAUCGAAAAAAUGGAUGUAUAUAAAAAGGCAACUUGAGAAAGAAGUUAAUACUUUAACUCCAGCUAUUGGUAAAAAGCAUAAACCCAAUUGGCAAUUGUGAAAACACUAAUUCUGAAAGCUUUGGGUUAGAACUACAGAGUGAGGAAGCUUCUAAUGAUGCCUUAUAUGUUAACCGACCAAGAUAUCAGGAAAUAUAUCGGAUUUUCCCUGGCUAGUGCUGGAGAUAGAGAGGGUGGAAGAAAGUCCAGGCCGGAAGCGAUAUCGGGACAAAAAUAAGAUGUGCGUGCAAUAAAAAAUGUGUGUUAUUUAAUUAAUAUAUGUGGGUAUUGUUCAA